rnacentral:rRNA from 1 species
UACAGAGGGUGCAAGCGUUGUCCGGAUUUACUGGGCGUAAAGCGUUUCGUAGGUGGCUUUAAAAGUUAUCUUUCAAAGUCCGAGGCUUAACCUCGGGAAGGGAGGUAAUACUGUAAGGCUGGAAAGUUAUCGGGGUUUUCGGAACUUGCGGUGUAGGGGUGAAAUCCGUUGAUAUCGCAAGGAACACCAAGGGCGAAGGCAGAAAACUAGGUAAUCUUUGACACUGAGGAACGACAGCUAGGGGAGCGAAAGGG